rnacentral:tRNA from 1 species
AGCCCCGUCGUCUAGCGGCCAAGGACACUAGGCUUUGAACCUAGUUACACCAGUUCGAAUCUGGUCGGGGCUA